rnacentral:rRNA from 1 species
UGGGGAAUAUUGCACAAUGGGGGAAACCCUGAUGCAGCAACGCCGCGUGAGUGAUGACGGCCUUCGGGUUGUAAAGCUCUGUCUUCAGGGACGAAAAUGACGGUACCUGAGGAGGAAGCCACGGCUAACUACGUGCCAGCAGCCGCGGUAAUACGUAGGUGGCGAGCGUUGUCCGGAUUUACUGGGCGUAAAGGGUGCGUAGGCGGACUUUUAAGUGAGAUGUGAAAUACCCGGGCUCAACUUGGGUGCUGCAUUUGAAACUGGAUGUCUAGAGUGCAGGAGAGGAGAAUGGAAUUCCUAGUGGAGCGGUGAAAUGCGUAGAGAUUAGGAAGAACACCAGUGGCGAAGGCGAUUCUCUGGACUGUAACUGACGCUGAGGCUCGAAAGCGUGGGGAGCAAACA